rnacentral:rRNA from 1 species
GAACGGGUGAGUAACACGUGGGUGAUCUGCCCUGCACUCUGGGAUAAGCCUGGGAAACUGGGUCUAAUACCGGAUAGGACCAUGCUUUAGUGUGUGUGGUGGAAAGUUUUUUCGGUGUAGGAUGAGCCCGCGGCCUAUCAGCUUGUUGGUGGGGUAAUGGCCUACCAAGGCGGCGACGGGUAGCCGGACUGAGAGGUUGGUCGGCCACAUUGGGACUGAGAUUCGGCCCAG